rnacentral:rRNA from 1 species
GCUAGUUGAGCGCACAGAACUAUGUCUGUGAGCGGCACACUGCUCAGUAACACGUAGCUAACCUACCCUUAGGACGUGGACAACCCCGAGAAAUUGGGGCUAAUCCGCGAUAGAUGUAAUGUCCUGGAAUGGUAUUACGUCCAAAGGUAUCCCAUACAUGUUUGGUAUACGCCUAAGGAUGGGGCUGCGGCCGAUCAGGCUGUUGGUGAGGUAAUGGCUCACCAAACCUUUGACCGGUACGGGCCAUGAGAGUGGUAGCCCGGAGAUGGACACUGAGACCAGGGUCCAGGCCCUACGGGGCGCAGCAGGCGCGAAACCUCCUCAAUGCACUUACGUGCGAAGGGGCUACCUCGAGUGCCACCUGAUGAAGGUGGCUUUUCCUAGGUCUAAAAAGCCUUGGGAAUAAGAGGGGGGCAAGACUGGUGUCAGCCGCCGCGGUAACACCAGCCCCUCGAGUGGUGGGGAUGAUUAUUGGGCCUAAAGCGUCCGUAGCCUGCCGUAUAAGUUUCCCGUUAAAUCCAGCGUCUCAAGCGUUGGACUGCGGGAAAUACUGUACGGCUAGAGAGUGGGAGAGGUCAGCGGUAUUCUGGGGGUAGGGGCGAAAUCCUUUGAUCCCCGGAGGACCACCAGUGGCGAAGGCUGCUGACUAGAACACGUCUGACGGUCAGGGACGAAGCUGGGGUAGCGAACCGGAUUAGAUA